rnacentral:rRNA from 1 species
CAGCCGCCGCGGUAAAACGGAGGGUGCUAGCGUUGUUCGGAAUCACUGGGCGUAAAGGGCGCGUAGGCGGCCUGUUAAGUCGGAUGUGAAAGCCCGGGGCUCAACCCCGGAACUGCAUCCGAGACUGGCAGGCUUGAGACCGGGAGAGGAGGGUGGAAUAUCCAGUGUAGAGGUGAAAUUCGUAGAUAUUGGAUGGAACACCGGUGGCGAAAGCGGCUCUCUGGCCCGGAUCUGACGCUGAGGCGCGAAAGCGUGGGGAGCAAACAGGAUUAGAUACCCCUGUAGUCCCUGUCUCUUAUAA